UAAGGAAUAUUGGUCAAUGGACGCAAGUCUGAACCAGCCAUGCCGCGUGGAGGAUGAAGGUCCUCUGGAUUGUAAACUUCUUUUAUAUGGGACGAAAAAGGGCUUUUCUAAGUCAACUGACGGUACCAUAUGAAUAAGCACCGGCUAACUCCGUGCCAGCAGCCGCGGUAAUACGGAGGGUGCAAGCGUUAUCCGGAUUCACUGGGUUUAAAGGGUGCGUAGGUGGGUUGGUAAGUCAGUGGUGAAAUCCCCGAGCUUAACUCGGGAACUGCCAUUGAUACUAUCAGUCUUGAAUACCGUGGAGGUCAGCGGAAUAUGUCAUGUAGCGGUGAAAUGCUUAGAUAUGACAUAGAGCACCAAUUGCGAAGGCAGCUGGCUACACGAUUAUUGACACUGAGGCACGAAAGCGUGGGGAUCAAACAGGAUUAGAUACCCUGGUAGUCCACGCCCUAAACUAUGGAUACUCGACAUACG
rnacentral:rRNA from 1 species